GUCUUGCUGGAAAGAGCUUCCUAAUAGCACGGCUGUGAGUGAAACCAGCACAGUAUGUUCAGUGUGGAGGUCCUCCUGAUUUCACAUGGAUCCAAACUGUCUAAAAAACUCCCUGCUUCAUACAAGAACAGAUAUGAUGGAUACUGAUUAUCUGCAUGAAUCCACAGGGAACAUAUCUGCUCAGAGGACACCGAAUGGUCCUGAAGUAGAACCUGAGAACCAAUUCAACCAGCGCUGAAAGCAGCCAUGGGACCCAAGGGAGGCAAGUGGGCCCUAGUUAUCACCAUGACCUUCAGGGUUUGUCCCCUUUUCAUACUUCAGAAGGGAGUGACCAUUUCCAUGUAUGUUGAGAUGACGGAUAAUAGACUCAAGAUGUGCCAGGGGAAGUUCAGGUUGGAUACUGGAAAUAAUUUCUUAUCAGAAAGAGUGGUGAGACAUUGGAACAGGCUGCCCGGGUAGAUGGUGGAGUCACCAUCCCUAGAGGCGUUCAAGAAAUGUGUGGAUGUGGCACUGAGGGAUGUAGUUUAGUGGGCAUGGUGGUGAUGGGCUGAUGAUUGCACUAAAUGAUCUUAGUGGUCUUUUCCAACCUUUAUGUUGCUAUGAUUCUACGAUUGUUUUCCUCUUCCAUGUGUGUGUGAUUGCAGACAAACUGAGAAGACACAGUGAGGAAAAGAAUGUGUAUAGUGUUUUGUUCUUUUCUACUUCUUCAGCUUUUAUUGGUGUCCACAGGAAAAAAGGAAUCAAAAUCCAGGAAAGAGGGAACCUAUCAGAAAAAAAAAAUGCAGAAGACCCUACUAAAACUAGAAGUAAUUACAGAGUCCCAUGUGACAGAUCAGAGGAAGUAUGGCUGUUACUGUACACCGUAUUAGAAGUUAUUAUUCCCAG
rnacentral:lncRNA from 1 species